rnacentral:lncRNA from 1 species
AUAAAAUCAAUAUUGUUAAAGACUUUAUUCAACUCAUUAUUAGUGAGGAAAGUGAGGAUAGCAAAGUCACCUGGUGUCCAUCAAGCAGACCAUCUGGAGGCAAAACUCUUUAUUUAAGGAACUCAGAAGUAAUUAGACUUUCCUAUUUUCUAAAGCCAUAAUCUGACACCAGGCUUCUUUCUAAAACAUGUAUAAGUAACUAGGAUUUCUAAUGCAUCUCCGGAAUGCAUGUAUGUUGAAACUCAUUGUGCAACACUUGCCGACAUCAAGGCACCAAAUUACCUACAUGGCUAAUAUGGUCCAAAUUACCCUUAAGCUCCCACUUUAAGGUCCAUAAAUACCCCUAAGGAAAAUCCACCUUGGCACGCUCAGUCUUGUCUAGCUGAAGCGCCCUGCUAUACUCUGCUGCAGUGUUCUUUCUGUUUAAUAAAACUUUCCUCUUCAAACCUAUUCUGCUGUCGGUACAUUCUUUUCCCAUAUGUGAGCCAAUCACUCUCCACUGCCAGGGCUCUGACAACUUGCCUGGCAGAAACCUAUAGGAUGUUUCAACAUGUUCAAGGGAGAAUCCAAAGAAUAGACACAUUUAUAUAUCAGGAAUAUUAAAAUGAACUUACAAGUGGAUCCCAAACUGGUUUCUCCACAUUGGCAGGGUCAUCCCUUCACCAGAGAGAAUUUAUUUGCAUGUCCAUAGGCAAGACUUAUUUUGUUUGCUGUCAGUCAUUUACAACUUAUAGAUUUGUAAAACAGCACACAGUGAGAUACCCCUACAGGGUGUGAUCUAAACAAUUCAUAGUUUUCCAUUAAAUCACACAUUUUCCCCUCAAGAAUCUCCAGCUGAAAUGAUCCAACAGGAUUUGGUCAGUCUGUGGCCUGGCCAGCUGGGGGCCACACCCUGACGGAGGCCCAUAGCUCCUGAUGAGUGGGAGAGGAUGGGGGACGCUUGGAAAGAACCUAGGGUUCCCACAGUGAGGAUCAGCAUGGCUUUGUAUAGCCCAUCUCUGAAUGCCUCAGAACCCACUAGGAAUAAGCAAUUUACUGUUAUUGAAGUCUGUGAAAUAAUUCAUUCCUAAAUAAAUUUGCUAGGGAAUUGUGGAUUCGGGUAGGGAUCUAUCAAGCAGUUUGAUUCCAGUCAGUCUCGUCAGAGAAUCCUUACCAAGGGCAUCCACAUCUGUGACACCAGCUGCCCAUCAGCGGCCUCGAUUUGUUUCCAGUUUGCUGCUCCAAAGAGGGAUGUCUGUAACCUUCCAGUCUAGAGUCUUCCCAGCAGCAGAGCAGACGGCCAGGCCAUUGGUGCCAGGUAAGAGUUAGUUAACAUGUAGCAAAUUUCUUUGCGGGAAGCACUGGCGAGGGCAUUAGGACUGCAGUGAGUUCUGCCCACUGAGCAGAGUGAUCAUGUUCACUUAUUGUUUUAUGGAGAUGGUGCUGAGGCUGAACACCUACAGCAGCUUUGCUUUAGGGGGCAUGGUUGGUGAUAAUGUUUCCGCUAAAGGGAUUGCUGCCAAGAUGCUGCUAAGGAGAGGCCAACUGGCUCUUGAAUACUCCAUUUCCUUUUAAACGGAGAGAUCUCUUAGGCUCUUCUCACUUUUUUAGUCAUUGAGUGAGUUGAUACACCCCAAAAUGGGGAUGGCAGGCCAAAGAGUCACAAAGCAUCCUCGCGUCAGGCAUUCAGUUCCAGCAAGAGCUUGGUCACAGCUGCCUUGGAACAAAAAAAAAGUUUAUUUGGCUUCUCUUCCAGCAGGUGGCGCUGUUAUACUAGGAACUGCCUCUGAGUAGUCCUGCAGCCAUUAAAUCUUUAAUUAAAUUGAUUUCUCUUUCUCUUGCUGUGAUUCUUUGUCUCUGCUGGGCCACCAGGUAUUGUUUAGGUAGGUAAGAGGGGAAGAAAAAAUGAUACCAGAAGGAAAUGUGGAACAUUAGAAAUGAACAAGAACAGAAAUGGCAAAUAUCUGGAUAAGUAUAAUAGGUUAUUCUUCUCUUGUUGAGUUCUUUAAAAUAUGUAAGACAAUUAAAAGCAAAAAUUUUUAACACCAUUUUAAAAAGUUUCAAAGUAUGUAGCUGUAAUACAUGAGACAAUUACAACAAAAAGAGGAGGAAGGUAAGGAGAUCCAUAUGGUGGUAAGAUUCUGAUAUUCCACUUGAAAUGGUGAAAUAUCGAUUCUAAAUAGACUACAAAAAGUCAAAUAUGUAUAUUGUAAUCCUUAGAACACUGAAAAAUUACACCAAGAGUUAAUGCCAAAAACCCACUAGAGGCCGGGAGUGGUGGCUCACACCUGUAAUCUCAACACUUUGGGAGGCUGAGGAAGGUGGAUCACUUGAGGUCAAGAGUUUGAGACCACCCUGGCCAACAUGGUGAAACCCUGUUUCUACUAAAAAUACAAAAAUUAGCUGGGCAUGGUGGUGCAUGCCUGUAGUCCCAGCUACUUGGGAGGCUGAAGUGGGAGAAUUGCUUGAACCUGGGAGGCAGGGGUUGCAGUGAGCCUAGAUUGCACCACUGCACUCCAGCCUGGGUGACAGAGAGAGACUCCAUCUCAAAAAAAGAAGAAGAAAAAAAAAACCCAAUAACACACACACUAGAUAACUUAAACUAGAAUACUAAAAAAGAAGUUUAAGUAAACCAAACAAAGGAAAAAAAAAAAGGUGAACUAAAAAUACAG